rnacentral:rRNA from 1 species
UGGGGAAUAUUGCACAAUGGGGGAAACCCUGAUGCAGCGACGCCGCGUGGAGGAAGAAGGUCUUCGGAUUGUAAACUCCUGUUGUUGAGGAAGAUAAUGACGGUACUCAACAAGGAAGUGACGGCUAACUACGUGCCAGCAGCCGCGGUAAAACGUAGGUCACAAGCGUUGUCCGGAAUUACUGGGUGUAAAGGGAGCGCAGGCGGGAGAACAAGUUGGAAGUGAAAUCCAUGGGCUCAACCCAUGAACUGCUUUCAAAACUGUUUUUCUUGAGUAGUGCAGAGGUAGGCGGAAUUCCCGGUGUAGCGGUGGAAUGCGUAGAUAUCGGGAGGAACACCAGUGGCGAAGGCGGCCUACUGGGCACCAACUGACGCUGAGGCUCGAAAGUGUGGGUAGCAAACAGGAUUAGAUACCCUGGUAGUCCACACCGUAAACGAUGAUUACUAGGUGUUGGAGGAUUGACCCCUUCAGUGCCGCAGUUAACACAAUAAGUAAUCCACCUGGGGAGUACGACCGCAAGGUUGAAACUCAAAGGAAUUGACGGGGGCCCGCACAAGCAGUGGAGUAUGUGGUUUAAUUCGAAGCAACGCGAAGAACCUUACCAGGUCUUGACAUCCGAUGCAUAGUGCAGAGAUGCAUGAAGUCCUUCGGGACAUCGAGACAGGUGGUGCAUGGUUGUCGUCAGCUCGUGUCGUGAGAUGUUGGGUUAAGUCCCGCAACGAGCGCAACCCUUAUGGUCAGUUACUACGCAAGAGGACUCUGGCCAGACUGCCGUUGACAAAACGGAGGAAGGUGGGGAUGACGUCAAAUCAUCAUGCCCUUUAUGACUUGGGCUACACACGUACUACAAUGGCGUUAAACAAAGAGAAGCAAGACCGCGAGGUGGAGCAAAACUCAGAAACAACGUCCCAGUUCGGACUGCAGGCUGCAACUCGCCUGCACGAAGUCGGAAUUGCUAGUAAUCGUGGAUCAGCAUGCCACGGUGAAUACGUUCCC